CGGACGGGUGAGUAACGCGUGGGUAACCUGCCUCAUACAGGGGGAUAACAGUUAGAAAUGACUGCUAAUACCGCAUAAGCGCACAGAAUCGCAUGAUUCGGUGUGAAAAACUCCGGUGGUAUGAGAUGGACCCGCGUCUGAUUAGCUAGUUGGUGGGGUAAAGGCCUACCAAGGCGACGAUCAGUAGCCGACCUGAGAGGGUGAUCGGCCACAUUGGGACUGAGACACGGCCCAAACUCCUACGGGAGGCAGCAG
rnacentral:rRNA from 1 species